GUGCUUGUCUCACAGCUACAUGUACUAAAAUUGGAACAAGACAGAGAGAACUAACAUGGCCCCUGGACAAACAUGACCUAAAAUAAAAUUUAAAAUUUAA
rnacentral:snRNA from 1 species